rnacentral:rRNA from 1 species
ACACAUGCAAGUCGAACGCAGUAGCAAUACUGAGUGGCAAACGGGUGAGUAUAAUGUGGGAAUCUGCCUUUUGGUUUGGAAUAACACGGGGAAACCUGUGCUAAUACCGAAUAAGCCUUUACAGGGAAAGUUUUAAUGCCAAAAGAUGAGCCCGCACUUGAUUAGCUAGUUGGUAAGGUAAAAGCUUACCAAGGCAACGAUCAAUAGCUGUUCUUAGAGGAAGACCAGCCACAUUGGGACUGAGACACGGCCCAGACUCCUACGGGAGGCAGCAGUGGGGAAUCUUGCACAAUGGGGGAAACCCUGAUGCAGCGAUGCCGCGUGAGUGAAGAAGGCCUUUGGGUUGUAAAACUCUUUCGUCGGGGAAGAAAAUGACUGUACCCGAAUAAGAAGGUCCGGCUAACUUCGUGCCAGCAGCCGCGGUAAUACGAAGGGACCUAGCGUAGUUCGGAAUUACUGGGCUUAAAGAGCUCGUAGGUGGUUAAAAAAGUUGAUGGUGAAAUCCCAAGGCUCAACCUUGGAACUGCCAUCAAAACUUUUUAGCUAGAGUGUGAUAGAGGUAAGUGGAAUUUCUAGUGUAGAGGUGAAAUUCGUAGAUAUUAGAAAGAACACCAAAUGCGAAGGCAACUUACUGGGUCACUACUGACACUGAGGAGCGAAAGCAUGGGUAGCGAAGAGGAUUAGAUACCCUCGUAGUCCAUGCCGUAAACGAUGUGUGCUAGACGUUGGAAAUAUAUUUUUCAGUGUCGCAGCGAAAGCGUUAAGCACACCGCCUGGGGAGUACGACCGCAAGGUUAAAACUCAAAUGAAUUGACGGGGACCCGCACAAGCAGUGGAGCAUGUGGUUUAAUUCGAAGA